GGAAUAUACCCUUCACUACGGAAUAGCCUCGGGAAACUGAGAGUAAUACCGUAUACGCCCUUCGGGGGAAAGAUUUAUCGGUGAAGGAUUAGCCCGCGUAAGAUUAGAUAGUUGGUGGGGUAAUGGCCUACCAAGUCUACGAUCUUUAGCUGGUUUUAGAGGAUGAUCAGCAACACUGGGACUGAGACACGGCCCAGACUCCUACGGGAGGCAGCAGUGGGGAAUCUUGGACAAUGGGCGCAAGCCUGAUCCAGCCAUGCCGCGUGUGUGAUGAAGGCCUUAGGGUCGUAAAGCACUUUCGCCAGAGAUGAUAAUGACAGUAUCUGGUAAAGAAACCCCGGCUAACUCCGUGCCAGCAGCCGCGGUAAUACGGAGGGGGUUAGCGUUGUUCGGAAUUACUGGGCGUAAAGCGCACGUAGGCGGAUUAGUCAGUCAGAGGUGAAAUCCCAGGGCUCAACCCUGGAACUGCCUUUGAUACUGCUAGUCUUGAGUUCGAGAGAGGUGAGUGGAAUUCCGAGUGUAGAGGUGAAAUUCGUAGAUAUUCGGAGGAACACCAGUGGCGAAGGCGGCUCACUGGCUCGAUACUGACGCUGAGGUGCGAAAGUGUGGGGAGCAAACAGGAUUAGAUACCCUGGUAGUCCACACCGUAAACGAUGAAUGCCAGUCGUCGGGCAGUAUACUGUUCGGUGACACACCUAACGGAUUAAGCAUCC
rnacentral:rRNA from 1 species